rnacentral:rRNA from 1 species
CGGACGAACGCUGGCGGCGUGCUUAACACAUGCAAGUCGAACGGUGACGAGGAGCUUGCUCCUCUGAUCAGUGGCGAACGGGUGAGUAACACGUGAGCAACCUGCCCCAGACUCUGGGAUAACAGUUGGAAACAGCUGCUAAUACCGGAUACGAGACGGAGAGGCAUCUCUACCGUCUGGAAAGUUUUCGGUCUGGGAUGGACUCGCGGCCUAUCAGCUAGUUGGUGAGGUAACGGCCCACCAAGGCGACGAUGGGUAGCCGACCUGAGAGGGUGACCGGCCACACUGGGACUGAGACACGGCCCAGACUCCUACGGGAGGCAGCAGUGGGGAAUAUUGCGCAAUGGGGGGAACCCUGACGCAGCGACGCCGCGUGAGGGAUGACGGCCUUCGGGUUGUAAACCUCUUUCAGCAGGGAAGAAGCGAAAGUGACGGUACCUGCAGAAGAAGCACCGGCUAACUACGUG